AGCGAACGCUGGCGGCGUGCCUAACACAUGCAAGUCGAACGUGAAAGGGAGCAAUCCCAAGUAAAGUGGCGUACGGGUGAGUAACACGUAGGUAAUCUACCCCAGAAUCUGGAAUAACCGGCCGAAAGGCUGGCUAAUACUGGAUAGAGCGACGGAAUCCGUAAUUGGGUUUUUCGGGAAAGGGAGCCUGUAAAAAGGCCUUCGUUCUGGGAUGAGCCUGCGUCCCAUCAGCUAGUUGGUGAGGUAAAAGCUUACCAAGGCAAUGACGGGUAGCUGGUCUGAGAGGACGGUUAGCCCCCCUGGGACCGGAACACGGGCCAGGCCCCUUCGGGGAGCCGCCGUGGGGAAACGUGCGCAAUGGGCGGAAGUCUUACGCCAGAACGCCGGGGGAGGGAAGAAGGCCUUCGGGUUGGUAAGCUCUGUCGAGUGGGACGAAAAUGCUUUGAGUUCACAGCUCCAGGAACUGACGGUACCACUUAAGGAAGCACCGGCUAACUCCGUG
rnacentral:rRNA from 1 species